CGGGAGCAGAGAGUCGCUCUGUCCUUCACUUCAGCAGCUUCUCCACUGAGCUUCACCAGACGAGCAGCAUGGUGGUCCAGGUCAUUGUUUACGGGGUCAAUAAGGAGAAGAUGACCAUCGACGUGUGUGACGCUGAGAAUGAACUGAAAAAAGUGACUUUGAAUCAACUGAAACAGAAAAUAGCGCGGAGGCUUCCUGGGAACGGAGAAUCUGCAAUGACUGACAUGAAGCUGAUCUUUGCUGGAGAAAGGCUGGAGGGAGACAAGCCUCUGUCUGAAUAUGGACUCGUGCACAGGUCCACCAUCCAGUUGGUGAUGACUCUGGAUGGAGGACUGACAACAUGACAACACAACAGAGACAAUGGCUGAAUUCUCUUCCCUGUGUCCUGAAGAUCAGACUACACCACUUUGUACUGUUUAUGCACUCUAAUUUGUUCUGUAUUAUGUUAGAAAAUAUGUAUUGCUGAUUAAAAGAAAAAACAACGUC